rfam:Triticum aestivum genome assembly, contig: Triticum_aestivum_CS42_TGACv1_scaffold_272768_3DS
CAUAUACUCCCUCCGUUCCAAAUUACUCGUCGUGGUUUUAGUUCAAAUUUGAACUAAAACCACGACGAGUUCCAAAUUGAACUAAAACCACGACGAGUAAUUUGGAACGGAGGGAGUAUAUU